GACGAACGCUGGCGGCGUGCUUAACACGUGCAAGUCGAACGGAAAGGCCCUGCUUUUGUGGGGUGCUCGAGUGGCGAACGGGUGAGUAACACGUGAGUAACCUGCCCUUGACUUUGGGAUAACUUCAGGAAACUGGGGCUAAUACCGGAUAGGAGCUCCUGCUGCAUGGUGGGGGUUGGAAAGUUUCGGCGGUUGGGGAUGGACUCGCGGCUUAUCAGCUUGUUGGUGGGGUAGUGGCUUACCAAGGCUUUGACGGGUAGCCGGCCUGAGAGGGUGACCGGCCACAUUGGGACUGAGAUACGGCCCAGACUCCUACGGGAGGCAGCAGUGGGGAAUAUUGCACAAUGGGCGGAAGCCUGAUGCAGCAACGCCGCGUGCGGGAUGACGGCCUUCGGGUUGUAAACCACUUUCGCCUGUGACGAAGCGUGAGUGACGGUAAUGGGUAAAGAAGCACCGGCUAACUACGUG
rnacentral:rRNA from 1 species